rnacentral:rRNA from 1 species
AGUGAACGCUGGCGGCGUGCCUAAUACAUGCAAGUCGAACGAACGAAUAAGAGCUUGCUCUUAUAAGUUAGUGGCGCACGGGUGAGUAAUAUAUAGCUAAUCUGCCUCUUAGUAGAGGAUAACAGUCGGAAACGAUUGCUAAUACUCUAUACUUCUGCUUUACAUAAGUAAAGUAGAGAAAGUUUUUCGCUAAGAGAUGAGGCUAUACUGUAUCAGCUAGUUGGUAAGGUAACGGCUUACCAAGGCUAUGACGCAUAACUGGUCUGAGAGGAUGAUCAGUCACAUUGGAACUGAGACACGGUCCAAACUCCUACGGGAGGGAGCAGUAGGGAAUAUUGCGCAAUGGGGGAAACCCUGACGCAGCAACGCCGCGUGGAGGAGGACACCUUUCGGAGCGUAAACUCCUUUUAUCGGGAAAGAAUAAUGACGGUACCCGAUGAAUAAGCACCGGCUAACUCCGUG